ACUUUUAAAGGAUAAAAGUCAAUCCAAUGGUUUUAGGUGCCACUUCCCUUGGUGCAAAUCCAAGUAAAAGUU
rnacentral:tRNA from 1 species